rnacentral:rRNA from 1 species
GACGAACGCUGGCGGCGUGCCUAAUACAUGCAAGUAGAACGCACAGUUUAUACCGUAGCUUGCUACACCAUAGACUGUGAGUUGCGAACGGGUGAGUAACGCGUAGGUAACCUGCCUGGUAGCGGGGGAUAACUAUUGGAAACGAUAGCUAAUACCGCAUAAUAUUAAUUAUUGCAUGAUAAUUAAUUGAAAGGUGCAAUUGCACCACUACCAGAUGGACCUGCGUUGUAUUAGCUAGUAGGUGAGGUAACGGCUCACCUAGGCGACGAUACAUAGCCGACCUGAGAGGGUGAUCGGCCACACUGGGACUGAGACACGGCCCAGACUCCUACGGGAGGCAGCAGUAGGGAAUCUUCGGCAAUGGACGAAAGUCUGACCGAGCAACGCCGCGUGAGUGAAGAAGGUUGUCGGAUCGUAAAGCUCUGUUGUAAGAGAAGAACGGGUGUGAGAGUGGAAAGUUCACACUGUGACGGUAACUUACCAGAAAGGGACGGCUAACUACGUG